rnacentral:rRNA from 1 species
UACGUAGGGUGCGAGCGUUAAUCGGAAUUACUGGGCGUAAAGCGUGCGCAGGCGGUUGUGUAAGACAGGUGUGAAAUCCCCGGGCUUAACCUGGGAACUGCGCUUGUGACUGCACGGCUAGAGUACGGCGGAGGGGGGUGGAAUUCCACGUGUAGCAGUGAAAUGCGUAGAUAUGUGGAGGAGCACCGAUGGCGAAGGCAGCCCCCUGGGCCGAUACUGACGCUCAUGCACGAAAGCGUGGGGAGCAAACAGG